GGGUGUAUAACUCAGCUGGAUAGAGUAUUGGUCUUUUAAAUCAAGAGUCGGUGGUUCAAAUCCACCUACACCCA
rnacentral:tRNA from 1 species